AGAUUGAACGCUAGCGGGAUGCUUUACACAUGCAAGUCGAACGGCAGCGCGGACUUCGGUCUGGCGGCGAGUGGCGAACGGGUGAGUAAUAUAUCGGAACGUGCCCAGUAGCGGGGGAUAACUACGCGAAAGCGUGGCUAAUACCGCAUACGCCCUACGGGGGAAAGGGGGGGAUCGCAAGACCUCUCACUAUUGGAGCGGCCGAUAUCAGAUUAGCUAGUUGGUGAGGUAAAGGCUCACCAAGGCGACGAUCUGUAGCUGGUUUGAGAGGACGACCAGCCACACUGGGACUGAGACACGGCCCAGACUCCUACGGGAGGCAGCAGUGGGGGUAAUUUGGGACAAUGGGGGGAAAACCCUGAUCCAGCCAUCCCGCGUGUGCGAUGAAAGGCCUUCGG
rnacentral:rRNA from 1 species